rnacentral:sRNA from 1 species
UCGGUCCAACACAGUUGAUAUACAUUUGUUUACCUGUUAUAGUUGCAAGUUGUACAGGCUGACAUUGCCUCGAUCGACAGUGAUGCUGUCGUUCACCCGACAAACACUGACUUCUACAUCGGUGGUGAAGUAGGAAACACGCUGGAGAAGAAAGGUGGCAAGGAGUUUGUGGAAGCUGUCCUGGAACUCCGGAAAAAGAACGGGCCCUUGGAAGUAGCUGGAGGUGAGGUGGGAAAGCCACCGUGCUUAUCUGGUUGUGGCACAUGCAGUAUUAGGAAAGCCAUUUUGUGAGAGGGCUUAGAAUUCAGAGGUGUGUGGCAGCACAGCCGCAUCUUCAAGAUGGAGGCCAAGGACAGCCUGUAGCUUUACAUCUUAGAGUUUCAUCACAUGCAGGUUGUCUGGGAAAAUCACCUUUGCAUUUUUUUUUAUUACUUAAAAUAGCUCCUAUAUGUUUGAUGUCUAGAUCACAAAUUUUAAGAAAUUAUAGGAGCUGGGUUUGGU